UACUAGAAGAUGUAGAAAGUUUAAAAAAUGAAAUAAGUCAAUUACAAAUAGAAUUAAGUAGACUAAAAGGAAAAGAAAAAAUAGAAUUUCAGGAUAGUAGUAAUGAAACAGAUAAAGAACAAAUCGAUAGUAGUAAUACAGAAGAAGAGGAGAUAAGGUAUCUGGAGGAAUCAGAUAAUAAGGAACAAGAAAUUAUAAUAAAAGAAAAUCAAGAAAUAUUAGAGGCUUUGGGAAAAAUGAAAAAUAUAAACGCCAUAAUAGAGGAUGAAAGUGAUAUAGAACAAGAGGAAAAUUCUUAUAUACAAACAGAUAAUGAUAUGGAAACAGAAACAAUUAUUAAUAAAGAUGCUGAAGACUAUCCAGAAGAGGAACUAGGAGAUCAUAUAAUAGCUAGAAGAAAUAAUAUAGGAACAGAUCAUAUUCCUCUCGGACAAAGAGAUCAAGUACAAGACUUUGUAGGAUCAAUAACACAAGGAAUUAAUAUAAAUGGAUAUUUUCUAGAUUUAGAUAAUGUAUAAGAUGAGCAAGAAAUAAGUAGGAGAAUUAAAGAUUGGAAUCUAGGGAUGUAUAUAGCCCUAAUGAAUGCUAAAAAUUUGGAUAAUAUAGAUUAUAUUUAUGACCUAAUAUCCAAAACAAUUAUCGGAAAGGCCGUAUUUUGGAUUGAAAAUAUAAAUUAUGCAUUAAAAGAGGAAGCAAAACAGAAUGCUAAAACUUGGAGGGAUAUGUUAAACUUGUUUGAUGUAGUAUUAAAAAGAGAAUUUCUAGGAGAGCAAUGGUUUGUAGCGCAAGAUCAGGUAAUGGUUGAGAGAAAAAUAGAGAUAGUGAUGUAUCUAAACAAUAUGAAAUGUUGUAAGAU
rnacentral:lncRNA from 1 species